rnacentral:rRNA from 1 species
CUCCGAGAUGAGUAUUCUAAGGCGCUUGAGAGAACUCAGGAGAAGGAACUCGGCAAAUUGACACCGUAACUUCGGAAGAAGGUGUGCCUUUAGUAGGUGAACCUGUACAAGGGGAGCCCAAUGAGGUUGCAAAAAAUCGGUGGCUGCGACUGUUUAAUAAAAACACAGCACUCUGCAAACACGAAAGUGGACGUAUAGGGUGUGACGCCUGCCCGGUGCUGGAAGAUUAAAUGAUGGGGUGCAAGCUCUUGAUUGAAGUCCCAGUAAACGGCGGCCGUAACAAUAACGGUCCUAAGGUAGCGAAAUUCCUUGUCGGGUAAGUUCCGACCUGCACGAAUGGCGUAGCGAUGGCCACACUGUCUCCUCCUGAGACUCAGCGAAGUUGAAAUGUUUGUGAUGAUGCAAUCUCCCCGCGGAAAGACGGAAAGACCCCAUGAACCUUUACUGUAGCUUUGUAUUGGACUUUGAACAGAUCUGUGUAGGAUAGGUGGGAGGCUUUGAAGUGUGGUCGCUAGAUCGCAAGGAGCCAACGUUGAAAUACCACCCUGGUGUGUUUGAGGUUCUAACCUAGGCCCGUAAUCCGGGUCGGGGACAGUGCAUGGUAGGCAGUUUGACUGGGGCGGUCUCCUCCCAAAGCGUAACGGAGGAGUUCGAAGGUACGCUAGGUACGGUCGGACAUCGUGCUAAUAGUGCAAUGGCAUAAGCGUGCUUAACUGCGAGACUGACAAGUCGAGCAGAUGCGAAAGCAGGACAUAGUGAUCCGGUGGUUCUGUAUGGAAGGGCCAUCGCUCAACGGAUAAAAGGUACUCUGGGGAUAACAGGCUGAUACCGCCCAAGAGUUCAUAUCGACGGCGGUGUUUGGCACCUCGAUGUCGGCCCAUCUCAUCCUGGGGCUGUAGCCGGUCCCAAGGGUAUGGCUGUUCGCCAUUUAAAGAGGUACGUGAGCUGGGUUUAAAACGUCGUGAGACAGUUUGGUCCCUAUCUUCCGUGGGCGCUGCAGAUUUGAGGAAGCCUGCUCCUAGUACGAGAGGACCGGAGUGGACACACCUCUGGUGUAUCGGUUGUCACGCCAGUGGCAUUGCCGAGUAGCUAUGUGUGGAAGAGAUAACCGCUGAAAGCAUCUAAGCGGGAAACUCGUUUCAAGAUGAGAUCUGCCGGGGCCUUGAGCCCCCUAAAGAGUCGUUCAAGACCAGGACGUUGAUAGGUCGGGUGUGGAAGCGCAGUAAUGCGUUAAGCUAACCGAUACUAAUUGCUCGUGCGGCUUGAUCA